rnacentral:antisense_RNA from 1 species
CCAUGACAACAAUUAAUUUAUUUAUUGAGAGUGAGGCAGGGAAGUGGGGAGGGAGGGCGGGGGUGACCUCUCUUCCUCACAGGCACCAGGCCUUGUUUCUCUCCCAGAUAAGCUAAGGUCGGCAGGGGCUGAGGGGAGUGAGGCAGGGAGGAUGCAUGGGGCCUGUGGGAACCAGAGAGAAGCUGGGGUCAGAGGUAGGAGCUGACGCUGUGGGGGGUGAAAGGUGAGGCAAGGUCAGAGGUGAAGUGCAGCUCAGAGGGAGGGGUCAAACAUAAACCAGAACUUAUAGGUCUAGAGGUAAAAUGGGAUUCAUGGGGGGCAGAGGUCAAAGGUGAAGCAGAAGUUGGGGUGAAGGAGGGUCUGCAAAGUUAAAGGUGCGGUUUCCAGAGUCACAAGGGGUGAAGCGGGGCUCCUCCUGGGAAUGUCAAGGUUGGAAGAGCUCAAGGGGGUUAAAGAUAAAUUAGGGCUCAAAGGGGAGCCAGGGUCAGAGAUGAAGUAGCCAGAGGUAAAGC